rnacentral:tRNA from 1 species
GGUUGCGUGGCCGAGUGGUCUAAGGCGCAGGAUUAAGGUUUUCUAACACUCCUGUCCGAAAGGGCGCAGGUUCGAACCCUGCCGCAGCCA